UAAUUAGAAACAAUUAAAAAGGAAAGUGGACAAGUAAUUCGGGACAGAGUGACUUUAAUACUCCAUCUGUUCACUUUUACUUGUCAUAAUUUGACUUGACACACUUAUUAAGAAAAUAAUUAAUGAUAUAGGUAUUUUAUCAAACUAUCCCCUAUUAAAUGAUGUUUUGAUUUUAUUUUUUUUAAAUAAGUAUUUAAUGUUGAAUGUAAAACAUGGAAAGAAAUAAUUGUCUUUUCUUGAUAUAUCAGAAGUGACAAAUAAAAAUGAAAAUUUAUUUUAGAAAUAAGUGACAAGUAAAACUGAACGGAGGGAGUAUAUUGUUUUAGUAAAAAGAUACUUCCUUCGUUCCUAUUUACAUGAUGUCUUUACUAAAAAUAGAUGUUCUUUAAUAUUUGUCAUUUCACACAAUUAAUGCAUAAAUUAGACUGUUCUUCCUAUUUCACCCUUUGAGAGUUAUUACUUAUUAGCCUUGAAAGUAUGCAUUUGAUCAAUAUAGAAAAACUAAGUAAUUAACUCAUGUUUAUUGAUCAAAUUAAUUAAUCAAAAUAUUAACUCAUGUUCAUUGAUUGAAACUUAACUUUAAGAUCUAUGGGGGUGAUAACUAAAUAAAAACGGAGGGAUUAUAUAUAUAUUUAAGAGUAAAUAUGCUUUUCAAUUAAAUAAUGUACAUGUUGAAAUACUUUUUUUUUAGAUUAAAUAAGUACUCAUUUUGAAAUGGGUGAAAUUAGACUUUACAUCAAGUCAUUUCUACUUACUUUAUUGGUUGUCCAAAUUGUCUACUCACCUUUUCACACUUUGACUAUGAUUUCCAAAGGAAUGAAUAGUCAUUUCUUUAUAUUAUCAGUAUAUAAUAUAAAAUAUAGCAGCAUGUGGAUUUUGUAGUCGAUCGAAGAAUUAAAAAAAAGAAGAAUAAAUCAAUUCUUUAUGAUAUUCUAUAUAAAUGGUAUAUACUAUGAGUAUUAUAGAAGAUAGAAGAAUAAUUCUUGAAGGAAUAAACUAGUUAUAUAUGAUACUUUGAGGAAUGUUUUUCUUUAAGAAAUAAAUUAAUUAUCUACGAUAUUCUAUAAUACUUAUACUAUAUACUAUAUAGUAUGUGGUUAUCACUCAUCACAAUAUAUUAUAGUACUAGUGAAAUUGUCUGCGCUACGCGCGAUAUUUAUAAAUUUAUUUAAUUGAUAAAGAAUUGCAAAAUAAAAUAAAAUAUAUAGAUAUAUAUAGGAAUAAAAGUGUCACAUAGUUUUCGAGGAAAAAUCCUUUCAUAAGAAAAAAGGGAAAAAAAGAGAAUGUGUAACAUACAAGUCUUGUAGCCUGUCCUUUGUUACGUAUAUUUUGUCCAUAAAUAAUUUAAUUAUUAAAAAUUAAUAACUGUUAUUUAGUUAACAUAUUUAGAUGUAAUUUUGAUUUUUACAUAAUAAGAUACACAAUUAAAUUCAAAAGAAUUUAGAGAAUUUUAGUCCAAGAGAAGGCGAUCUUAAAAUCAAAAGUAACAAUUAGGGGAAGAUUAGAAGCGGAAGAAAAGAAUUACAUGUCAUGUUUAAAUAAAAUCAUUAAAAGCUAAUAUCAUAGAAGUCUAUACAUUAAAAAAGAAAAUGGACGUCCGGAAAUUGAUAUAACAACUAAAUCAAAGUUGUGUUAAUGGAAAUAAGAUGUAGAUUUAGUGAUCACAAUAAUAAUUUCUGUUUGUAGUCAUUUUUAAAUAAAUUAUUUAAUAUUCAAAAGAUAUUUAUUCAUGAAAUUAUAGAUAUAUGCCUUUUAAAGAAGGAGAUUGGAUCAGUACAUCAUGCUCCCACCAUAGUCCUUGAAAAAUUGUUUGGUUUGCGGACAAAGUUAUUUUGAAAUUAUAAUCCUACCUAAAUUUAUAUCUCAAAUAAAUAGACUAUAAAUUAAUUUCAAGUUCGAUCCUAGAUAUUCUACCUUAUUCUUGUAACAAACGAAUGAUUUAUAACAAUUGUCAAAUAAAAAAGGAGCGUGAGCUCUAAAUUUUCCAACUUUCCACUGAUAAGAAAGUCUAAUCAAGCAUAAAACUUCACAUUAAAACUAACUUACACAUGCAAAGAAACAUAUUAAAACUAAAAGAGGAGGAGAAAAACAAAUCAUAUCUAACAAUUCAUUAAUUACAAAGGUAAAGAUAAAAAAAAAAAAAAAAAUCUAUAUAGAUUUUUUCGUCAUGCCUAACUUCAUAAGUUUAUAUAUCUAAACAAAAGGUUUAACUAACAUGAUACCAAGCACAAUAAAAACUAUGUUUGUACCAAAAUUAUAAAAAAAAUAAAAAAAUGCAUAAGAAUUGCGUUGUAUAAAUUUAUUGAAAAGGAGAAAAGAACUGUCAUAAGAAUAACGACUAAACAUUUAGGCAUGUAAAUAUCAAUAUUAAAUUCUUUCUAUAUCCUACUUCAAAAACUACCUUGAAAUUACUUGUACUUGAAUUGAAACAAAAAACAACCAAAAUCAUCACAACCACAUGAAAUUCAUUUUUUCAUGUUUCUCAAAAUUCAAAGAGUACACCAAUAAUC
rnacentral:lncRNA from 1 species